rnacentral:rRNA from 1 species
GGCUCAUCACAUCCUGGGGCUGUAGUAGGUCCCAAGGGUUGGGCUGUUCGCCCAUUAAAGUGGUCCGCGAGCUGGGUUCAGAACGUCGUGAGACAGUUCGGUCCCUAUCCGUCGCAGGCGUAGGAAAUUUGAGAAGACCUGUCCUUAGUACGAGAGGACCGGGAUGGACGUACCUCUGGUGUACCAGUUGUCCUGCCAAGGGCAUGGCUGGGUAGCUAUGUACGGAAUGGAUAAGCGCUGAAAGCAUCUAAGCGCGAAGCCAACUUCAAGAUAAGAUUUCCCACCGCAAGGGUAAGACCCCAGAAAGACUAUCUGGUUGAUAGGUCGAAGGUGUAAGUGCAGCAA